UACAUAGACCUCAAGCGUUAUCCGGAUUUACUGGGCGUAAAGGGCGCGUAGGCGGCGUGACAAGUCACUUGUGAAAUCUCCGGGCUUAACUCGGAACGGUCAAGUGAUACUGUCGUGCUAGAGUACAGAAGGGGCAACUGGAAUUCUCGGUGUAGCGGUGAAAUGCGUAGAUAUCGAGAGGAACACCUGCGGCGAAGGCGGGUUGCUGGGCUGAUACUGACGCUGAGGCGCGAAAGCUAGGGGAGCGAACGGG
rnacentral:rRNA from 1 species